GAUGAAGAACGUAGCGAAAUGCGAUAAGUAAUGUGAAUUGCAGAAUUCAGUGAAUCAUCGAAUCUUUGAACGCACAUUGCGCCCCUUGGUAUUCCGAGGGGCAUGCCUGUUCGAGCGUCAUAUUAACCACUCCCGCUUGCGGGGUCUUGGGCUUCGCCUCCGGGCGGGCCUUAAAAUCAGUGGCGGUGCCGUCGGGCUCUACGCGUAGUAAAUUUUCUCGCGAUAGGGUCCCGGUGGAUGCUUGCCAACAACCCCCAACUUCUUAAGGUUGACCUCGGAUCAGGUAGGGAUACCCGCUGAACUUAAGCAUAUCAAUAAGCGGAGA
rnacentral:misc_RNA from 1 species